AGGACGAACGCUGGCGGCGUGCUUAACACAUGCAAGUCGAGCGGAAAGGCCCUUCGGGGUACUCGAGCGGCGAACGGGUGAGUAACACGUGAGCAACCUGCCCUUAGCUUCGGGAUAGCUCCGGGAAACCGGAAUUAAUACCGAAUAUGACUUUGGCUGACAUCAGCAGAAGUGGAAAGUUUUUCGGCUAGGGAUGGACUCGCGGCCUAUCAGCUAGUUGGUGAGGUAACGGCCCACCAAGGCGACGACGGGUAGCCGGCCUGAGAGGGCGACCGGCCACGACUGGGACUGAGACACGGCCCAGACUCCUACGGGAGGCAGCAGUGGGGAAUAUUGCGCAAUGGGCGAAAGCCUGACGCAGCGACGCCGCGUGGGGGAUGAAUGCCUUCGGGUUGUAAACCCUUUCAGCAGGGACGAAGCGAAAGUGACGGUACCUGCAGAAGAAGCGCCGGCUAACUACGUGCCAGCAGCCGC
rnacentral:rRNA from 1 species